GGUACACACGUUUUGCUGGCUAAUAAACCCACACACGUACAUAUUUCCAUCCUCUCCUUGCUCCUGCGCCACUGCACAAGUCUCGCUGCUGCUGCUGCUUGCUUCACGCGUCGCCGGAGUCUGGUCGACGGUGGGAUCCCAGUAAGUACCGACCUCAUCCAUCUCCUCUCCCGUGCUUUUUUCCCCUCUAGGCGUCCAGUAUGAUGCCACCGCCACGGGAUCGAUGGAGUUGUUGUUUCAUGAAUUUAGUUUACUUGCAUUAUGAAAAUCCAGAAAUGUAUAUCAUGAUUUUUGGAAGUUUUCUUAAGACAAAUGUGUAUUUUAAAAUAUAAUAAAAAUAUUGUGUUGGUAAUGAUGCUCAUAAUGAAAAAUUCAAAAGCUUGUCUCUCCUUGUCUAAGUCUCAGUUUGGUAUUAUCGAACAUUUUCAACUAACUUUUGCCUUAAGACCAACUCGUUCUUGUCUGUUUUGGUCGCUAUUUUUCCACGGCAGAUUAUAAGUCAAGCACAAAAUAAUUCAGCAACCGCAAACUAGCCCAUGGACGUACGACAGCUUUCAGAAGACCGAAGAGAGUGAUUCACAUUAUACAAAAUAACUGAUGAUGUAACUUUUCUACAUGUAUUUCUUUUAUCAUAUUUCUGUUUUUUUGGGUCUGUUGCUAUAUCUAGACUUUGGAGACUAUUGUACCGGCAACCGUAAUCUUGAGAAUUUUCUUCGUUCUGUUCUGGCCUAUGCAUGCCUCUCACCCGUUUAUUAAUUGUCAGUGCAUUUAACGAUCUACGAGCUCCAUGGCCGCAAACUAACUGAGCUAGCACGUCCUGCGACGCAUGGAGGUGGCUCUCGUGAGUGUGGCCACGGGGGCCCUUAACUCCGUCCUAGAGAAGUUGGGCACUCUGCUAGUCGACGAGUACAAUCAUCUCAAAGGGGUGUGCGGUGAGAUUAAGUUUCUAACUGAUGAGCUUACUGCCAUGCAUGCCUUUCUCUUUAAUAUGUCGGAGGAGGAGGAUCCUGACGUGCAGGACAAGGUAUGGAUGACCAUGGUGCGGGAGCUCUCCUAUGAUACAGAGGACUCCAUUGACGACUUGAUGCUAGGUCUUGACGACAAAGAUGCUAAGCCAGAUGGCUUCAUAAAGAAGAUCAAACACAUUCUGGGGACGUUGGGGAAGAGGAAGGCUCACCAUCGGACGUUCCAAGAUUUGAAGAAUCAAGUCACUGCGGCAGGCGAGAGAAAUCAAAGGUACAAGACACCUCGGGCCUUCUCCAACACAAAAAAUGGAACCGUUGACCCUAGGGCUCUUGCUAUCUUCGAGGAUGCCUCAAAGCUUGUCGGUAUUGACGAACCCAAGGCUGAGAUAAUCAGAUUGUUGACAGAAGGGAAUGUAUAUGCACCAAUGCAACAACAACAACCAAAAAUAGUCUCCAUCGUUGGAUCAGGAGGGAUGGGCAAGACAACUCUUGCAAACCAAGUGUAUAAAGACCUUAAAGGAAAAUUUGAGUGUCGGGCUUUCGUAUCAAUGUCACAAAAUCGGAACAUGAAGAAAAUCUUGGGACCUAUUCUCAGUGAAGUGGCAAAUAAAGAUUAUGCCCACACCAAAGCUAGGGAUGAACAACAACUUAUCUCCAAGAUCUCUAAUUUCCUUGUUGAUAAAAGCUCCUCUUUUACGAUCUACUAGGAGGUCGUGGAAGACAAUAGAGAGAAGGGUGGUGCUCGAAGGGAUCUCGUUAGCAAUGAUGGUGCACAGUGGUUUUACCCAAGUUCAGGCUCCAGAUGGCUACUUCAUUGUUGUUGACAACGUAUGGAACAAGGAAACAUGGGAUGUUAUUAAGUAUGCAUUCCCCAUGACCAGUCGUGGCAGACUAAUCACCACUACCCGUAUGAUUGAUGUUGUGCAUUCAUGUCAUUCAUCAUUCAGUGGCCAUAUUUAUAAUAUGAAGCCUCUUCAUAUGGAGCACUCAAGACAUCUAUUUCACAAAAGACUAUUCAGUUCCAAAGAAGAUUGUCCUUCAUACCUUGAAGAAGUUUCUAAGCAAAUAUUGGAAAAAUGUGAUGGGUUACCUUUAGCAAUCAUUGCUAUAUCUUGUUUGUUGGGUAACACAGAAAGAACAAAGCAGCAAUGGGACCAAGUAAAAGAUUCAAUUGGUCGUGCACUUGAAAGGAAUCCUAGUGUUGAAGGAAUGAUGAAGAUAUUGUCACUUACUUACUUUGAUCUGCCUUCCCAUCUAAAAGGUUGUCUCCUAUAUCUAAGUAUAUUUCUAGAAGAUUCUAUUAUUGAGAAGAAGGGUCUGAUAAGGAGAUGGGUUGCUGAAGGACUUGUUUGCAAAGAAGGCAGAUAUACAUCAUAUGAGUUAAAAGAGAAGUGUUUUAGUGAGCUCGUCAAUAGGAGUUUGAUCCAACCCGUGAAGGUGGACAAAUAUGAUAAGGUGCUUACUUUUCGAGUUCAUGACACGAUUCUUGAUUUCAUAGUUUCCAAGUCCAUCGAAGAGAACUUUGUUACUUUCAUUGGUGUUCCUAGUUUAACUAUCGGGAGACAAAGCAAAACUCGACGGCUCUCCAUGCAAGUUUAUGGGAAAGGAAAUUAUGUCAUGCCAAUGAACUUGAUAUUGUCUCAUGUCCGGUCACUUAAUGUGUCUGGGAAUUCUGUGAAAAUACCUUCCAUGACGGGGUUCAGUCGUUUACGCAGUUUGGACUUUGGACAUGCAGGCAAUUAGAAAACUACCAUCUUGUGAAUGUAGGGAUGUUGUUGCAGCUAAGGUAUCUCAACAUUAGCAUCACAAGGGUGAGCGAGCUCCCGGAGCAAAUUGGAAAUCUAGGGUUCUUUGAGAUGUUGGACAUAAGGCACACAAAUGUGUUUGAUUUACCAGCAAGUAUUGUCAAUCUCGGAAAUUUGGCACAUUUAUUUGUUAGCGGACACGUUAGGUUUCCCGAUGGAAUUGCGAAGAUGCAAACACUGGAGACAUUGAAACGUGUGCCUGCCCUGCAAUCAUAUAACUUUCUGCAAGAGCUUGGGCGGCUACAGAAUCUGAGGAAGCUACACUUUUAUCAUAUGUAUGUCUUCCAAGAGCACAAGGAAGAUAUUGCUUCUUCUCUCCGUAACCUAUGCACACGGAACCUUUGUUCUUAACUAUAACUAUGUUGAGUGACAAGCUGAGUGACAACUUCUUACUGAAUACAUGGUGCACUUGUCCCUCGGUGAACCUCCAGAAACUUAUGACCUCGGGUUUUGUCUUCCCAAAGGUUCCAGAUUGGGUAGGAUCGUUCGUCAACCUACAGAAGUUAUGCUUCCGAGUGAAGAGAAUUAAGCAUGAAGAUUUGUGCAUCCUUGGAGCCUUACCUGCUCCGCUCUCUCUAGGUCUCGAAGCAAAGGAAUAUCAGUCUUCUUGUGAAGCCAAAAGGCCUGCAGUCACUGGUGAAGUUUGGUUCCGGUGCCUCAGAGUAUUUACUUAUUGAGUGCAGGGAGAUGGGAUGGAUCUCAUGUUUGUAGCAAGAUGUAUGCCCAAUCUAGAAAAACUGGCGAUUGUUUUUCUCGGCUGUGACAACGAGUCUCUGAGCAGAUCUGGUGCUUUCAGUUUCGCGAUUACAAACCUCUCCAGCCUCAUUAGUUUCAAAUGUGUGUUAAAUUGCUCGCGUAUCACGAUAAGCACUACUGACAUCAUAACGGCUUCGCUAGAGAGAGUAGUUGGCACACAUCCAAACAAACAACUCAAUAUAAUCUUUGAAGAUACCGCAAUUCGGCUGUGAAUAAAGGAUCCAUACGUUACUUCUUCAUCUUCUUUUUCGUCUUUAGAUUUGAUAUUUAUAUAUAAGUUUGGAGUACUUACUGCUAGCUAGUAAUCACCCUUUCUUGAACAGAACAGCUCGUAAGGUCUUGCCAUUUUCUCAACUACCUAUUAUGCUUAUACUAUAUUUAUGCACUGUAAUAUGCUUGCUAUCACAGUAGAUUAUAACUUUCCAAAUCACUUGCAGUGCUACUGCCUGAAUGCUUGGGUAGCAGACUGAGUAUUGAAGUGUCCUGGAUGAUGCUGAAGAUGCUGCUGCACUUCAUGAUUGUGUUCUGUUGGAUAUUACCGGAGAGUCUUCUGUUUGGCUUCAAGAAUUAAACCCAGUACAAUUUAAAUCAUCUCUGUAGGUUAUAAGAACUGUACCAGCAAAGCUGCAUGUUGGAUGCUAACUAGGCCCUAGGCAUGCUUCCACUUCAGGUACUAAUCCCAUGCAGUUGUUUGGGCAGCCGCUAUAUAGUCUUUGCCUUACAAAGGAAAUUAUCGAGAUUUCUGUGUACGUUGGUGAGUAAGAUGUUACUGAUUCCUGUCCUCAGGCAUCUUCUUGUGUUACUGCUGGAAGGUAUCGAAGCACAUGUGUUGACUUGUUGUGUAUGUGGAGUUACAUCCUUUUCGUUUUGGUGUUAUCUUUCGCUGAGUUGGUCAGUCACGACCAUAAUAAUUUGAACUUUGCAAACUAUCUGUAAUCAGCUACAAUAGAUGUGUGUUCAGUUAGUUUUCGAAACCCAUUCGACACAAAUUCAACAGAAAGCAAGCUUUUUGUGCCACUAUUAGAUUCAGACCAUAAUAAUCCAUGUUGGCAGAAAUUAUCAAUUUGCUAUAUUUUUGUAGUUUUUGUAUUGGUUGUCGUUUCUCCUAGAGAGCCUUGUUCUUGGCUUCUUGCUGAUGUUUUGGAGACUCUCUAUAUCCUUUGGCUAGAGACGCACCGUUGGGUUGAUGCGUGGUGGCUUGAUUGAGGUACUAAUUGAUGAUGCGAAGCAAUUUGGUGGAGGCUGCAAUCUCAAAAGUUUGUUGCUGUUUCGGAGGUCGAUGGGUCGGUUCAUCGGUUUGAAGUGGGUGCUUAUUUUUACUGAGAUGCAAUCACUGCUGCUUUUUUUAAAUUGGCUACUGCCAUUGGGAGAAAGCUAAUGAAUAUGCAAACUGUGUAGGCUCAGACCCUCGCAGUCUCUCUCGCUCUCCGUGUUUCUGUGGACACACACACACACACAUACACACACACAAUGAUGC
rnacentral:rRNA from 1 species